CUUAAAGAAUAGAAAAUAUAAUGACAACCUACUCAAUAGGAAAAUCCAAAGAAGCAAUGUGGAUUGUAACCUAGAAAUCUCUUCUUUGUCAUUUAGUUUGUUGUUGGUUCUUCACUAUCUCUCCACGCCGUCGACUCCCUCAACAAUGGCCAAGAGAACCAAGAAGGUCGAGAUUGUUCGGAAAUACGAUGAGUUAUGAUGUGAUGAUGUUUAAGGAUGUCAUAUUGCAUAACAUAAUGCCAUUUGAUUGGAAUAGAGUCUGUGACAUGAGUGAAGAAAACAAGAAAUCAUAUAUGACAUUCUUGAUUAUUAUGCAUUAGAUAACAACUUCAUAUUGAAAGGUGUAGGAUAAUGAGAAGUUAGUUCAAAACUUUCAUGUUUAAUUGUUUCUGUUUGAUUAUUUUGAAUUAGGAGUGAGUUAUGGUCUUACCUUUGUUGUCUGGUCUGGCUGAGUGGAUGAAAUGUAUUAUCACGAUUAAUUAGUAUCAUUAUAUUGUUUUGUUUAGGUACCCGGUAUGGUGUCAGUCUGCGUAAGAAGAUUAAGAAGAUGGAGGUGAGUCAACACAACGAGUAAUUUUGUGAGUUAUGCGGAAAGGAUUAAUAACAUCGAAUUUGAGGAGGUUAAAAUUGAUCUGGCCAAGCGUCAACAUUUAUCUCAAGAAUUUGCAGGAGGAGUGAAGUGCAUACGUAGCCCUGCUAAUUUGGUGGACAUUCAUAGAAUAGGAGUGAAGAUUGAUCAGAUUCAAAGGAGUGUGCAAGAAGCGGCCGGGGUUUUGAAUGAUCUUGAAACUGCUGGAAAUGUCAGUGAGGAAGAGCAUAGUUGUUCUAAUAUCAGAUUUAGAUUGUGGAUGCUGAGGAGUUUGACGAACAUUUUUAUGCAAAGUGAGGAAUACAAUGCCUGAAUUUCACCAUAGCUCGAAAUUGCAAUCGCAAGAAAAUUAUUUGAUGAAUUUUCGAUGAAUUAAUGUAUAAUGGAAGCUACUGAUCUCUCAACCGUUGAUGAUAUUAUCGACUCCCGACUCUCGACGACAGGUUCAACAUUGUGCUUGCAGUUUUUGUCAUCAGAUUUUGUAAUGUUGUAAUUUGGUAUGCGGGUUUGUGAUGUGAUUGUGAAGUAUGAUUGUAUUAGGUUAUUUGAAUAUAUUAAUUUCUCUCUCUUAGUCCAAUAUAAAUCAAUGAUGAACUGAAAUCUUCCAAUAUUAAUAUAUCUUUGCACGCA